CAGAGUUGCAAAACUCCCAACCAUCUGCUGAACGUUACCUACCAGUUGCCUUCGGCGCGCCGCGCCCUGUCACCGGGGCGGACCGCCGGAGUGCCGUAUACAAACUCUUUGCAUUACAGUUAUCAUCUGAGUACUUACUUCAAUAAGUA
rnacentral:misc_RNA from 1 species